AUGGCCGUCGUCAGCUCGUGUCGUGAGAUGUUGGGUUAAGUCCGUAACGAGCGCAACCCUUAUCCCUAGUUGCCAGCACAUUAUGGUGGGAACUCUAGGGAGGACUGCCGGUGACAAACCGGAGGAAGGUGGGGAUGACGUCAGGUCAUCAUGGCCCUUACGGCCAGGGCUACACACGUGCUACAAUGGCGCGCACAGAGGGCUGCAAACCCGCGAGGGGGAGCUAAUCUCACAAAACGCGUCGUAGUCCGGAUCGCAGUCUGCAACUCGACUGCGUGAAGUCGGAAUCGCUAGUAAUCGUGAAUCAGAAUGUCACGGUGAAUACGUUCCCGGGCCUU
rnacentral:rRNA from 1 species